GAAAUUGAGGGAUCGGUAUCUGUGGCUUCAGAUGUGCUGACUAAAUUGGAUGGUUCGUUCUUCCCCUCGAAACUCGCCCUUGGACUGCGAAUCGGGUUCAUUAAUCCAAUGCUAGUGUCACCAGCCUUCCUUCGUUGUUCGUGCUCGGCUCUCCAUUUUCGUAACUCUUGUUCUACACCCAACUUUCCUUCCUUGGCUUUU
rnacentral:misc_RNA from 1 species